UUUGCACAAAAGUUUUGGCUUGGGUUAGAGUGGAGGGAAGAAGAAGAAUGGCUAAGGUCCUAAACAUACAAGAGAUAAGGGAGAAGAAAUAAGACCACAAAUGGAGUUCCUCUCUUGAGAUCAUAUUGAUGAUCCAAGUAGCUCUCAUCCUUUGGAAUAUACAAGCAAAAUAAUAGUAAGCUCAAGCAAUCAACAAUCAAUUAAGCUCUUGGAAAG
rnacentral:lncRNA from 1 species